rnacentral:rRNA from 1 species
CUGGCGACUUCCCGAGAAGUCCACUGAACCUUAUCAUUUAGAGGAAGGAGAAGUCGUAACAAGGUUUCCGUAGGGUGAACCUGCGGAAGGAUCAUUGUCGAU